CUUAACACAUGCAAGUCGAGGGGCAUCAGGAAGAAAGCUUGCUUUCUUUGCUGGCGACCGGCGCACGGGUGAGUAACACGUAUCCAACCUGCCCUUUACUCGGGGAUAGCCUUUCGAAAGAAAGAUUAAUACCCGAUAGCAUAAUGAUUCCGCAUGGUUUCAUUAUUAAAGGAUUCCGGUAAAGGAUGGGGAUGCGUUCCAUUAGGUUGUUGGUGAGGUAACGGCCCACCAAGCCUUCGAUGGAUAGGGGUUCUGAGAGGAAGGUCCCCCACAUUGGAACUGAGACACGGUCCAAACUCCUACGGGAGGCAGCAGUGAGGAAUAUUGGUCAAUGGGCGGUAGCCUGAACCAGCCCAGUAGCGUGAAGGAUGAAGGCUCUAUGGGUCGUAAACUUCUUUUAUAUAAGAAUAAAGUGCAGUAUGUAUACUGUUUUGUAUGUAUUAUAUGAAUAAGGAUCGGCUAACUCCGUGCCAGCAGCCGCGGUAAUACGGAGGAUCCGAGCGUUAUCCGGAUUUAUUGGGUUUAAAGGGAGCGUAGGUGGACUGGUAAGUCAGUUGUGAAAGUUUGCGGCUCAACCGUAAAAUUGCAGUUGAUACUGUCAGUCUUGAGUACAGUAGAGGUGGGCGGAAUUCGUGGUGUAGCGGUGAAAUGCUUAGAUAUCACGAAGAACUCCGAUUGCGAAGGCAGCUCACUGGACUGCAACUGACACUGAUGCUCGAAAGUGUGGGUAUCAAACAGGAUUAGAUACCCUGGUAGUCCACACAGUAAACGAUGAAUACUCGCUGUUUGCGAUAUACAGUAAGCGGCCAAGCGAAAGCAUUAAGUAUUCCACCUGGGGAGUACGCCGGCAACGGUGAAACUCAAAGGAAUUGACGGGGGCCCGCACAAGCGGAGGAACAUGUGGUUUAAUUCGAUGAUACGCGAGGAACCUUACCCGGGCUUAAAUUGCAGUGGAAUGAUGUGGAAACAUGUCAGUGAGCAAUCACCGCUGUGAAGGUGCUGCAUGGUUGUCGUCAGCUCGUGCCGUGAGGUGUCGGCUUAAGUGCCAUAACGAGCGCAACCCUUAUCUUCAGUUACUAACAGGUUAUGCUGAGGACUCUGGAGAGACUGCCGUCGUAAGAUGUGAGGAAGGUGGGGAUGACGUCAAAUCAGCACGGCCCUUACGUCCGGGGCUACACACGUGUUACAAUGGGGGGUACAGAAGGCAGCUAGCGGGUGACCGUAUGCUAAUCCCAAAAUCCUCUCUCAGUUCGGAUCGAAGUCUGCAACCCGACUUCGUGAAGCUGGAUUCGCUAGUAAUCGCGCAUCAGCCACGGCGCGGUGAAUACGUUCCCGGGCCUUGUACACACCGCCCGUCAAGCCAUGGGAGCCGGGGGUACCUGAAGUACGUAACCGCAAGGAUCGUCCUAGGGUAAAACUGGUGACUGGGGCUAAGA
rnacentral:rRNA from 1 species